UAUCAGAUAUGAGAAAUUUGGGUAAAACUUUUAGGUCAAGGUGUUUUGGUAUUUGUCACUUUUGUUACGUAAAUGGCUCAGGUGAGCUCAUUUCUUGUUUGGUAACAAUUUUCUAGCUGGCUUUACAUCAUUCAACAUGAUAACAUUUGAUAUCAAUUUUUUUUAAUUAUCGUCAUUUUUUUUUUUUUCAUUUUUUUUUUUUUAUUUUCCUUUUGUCCGCCGUCCGUCAUCCGCCGUCCGUCAUCCGCCGUCCGUCAUCCGCCGUCCGUCAUCCGCCGUCCGUCAGUUUUAGCGAGUGGAAACGUAACGGCUUGCGUGAGAGCUGCGCAUGCGUACGUCAGUUUAAACACCAUGUGAUCAUGUGAUACAGAAUAUAGACAAACCUCAGAGCCAUGCAUAUGAAGUGGCCAUUCUUGCUGCGGUAUAAAUAUCAUUCAUUUAUAAGAAUUUAACGGUAUAGCACUCUCUCGCAUUUUGCUUGAGUUUUGCGCUAUUAACGAAAUGCAUUUACAAGCAGACAGUGUAGUUAUGUUCUCUUUGCCUCGCAGGAGAUCGGACUGAACAAGCUCCAUUACCUCGCGCCAGUGAUCUGUUUAGUGCAGAUUUGGAAGGCGAGAUCGACAUGCAAAUCAACAGGGAACUUUUUAUCCACUACACUUUCCUUUCCAUGGCGUUUCAUUUUUAUCGUGACGACAUCAACCUUCCCGGCUUUCAUAAAUACUUCAAAUUAGCUGCUCGUGAAAGGAUGAAGCAUGCACACAUGUUCAUGGAAUACUUGCUCAAGCGAGGAGGCCGUCUAAAGUUGAACCCAGUUAUGGUGAGCAAAAUAUAGGCCGUUUAUAACAGCUGUAGGAACUCUUGACCGCGUAGCGGCAAACUCGCGGAUUCUGCCCUAUAGCCUGCUAGGGAGGCACUAGAAUCCUAGCUUGCAAUCAGGCU